rnacentral:rRNA from 1 species
UGGGGAAUUUUGGACAAUGGGCGAAAGCCUGAUCCAGCAAUGCCGCGUGUGUGAAGAAGGCCUUCGGGUUGUAAAGCACUUUUGUCCGGAAAGAAAUGGCUCUGGUUAAUACCUGGGGUCGAUGACGGUACCGGAAGAAUAAGGACCGGCUAACUACGUGCCAGCAGCCGCGGUAAUACGUAGGGUCCAAGCGUUAAUCGGAAUUACUGGGCGUAAAGCGUGCGCAGGCGGUUGUGCAAGACCGAUGUGAAAUCCCCGAGCUUAACUUGGGAAUUGCAUUGGUGACUGCACGGCUAGAGUGUGUCAGAGGGGGGUAGAAUUCCACGUGUAACAGUGAAAUGCGUAGAGAUGUGGAGGAAUACCGAUGGCGAAGGCAGCCCCCUGGGAUAACACUGACGCGCAUGCACGAAAGCGUGGGGAGCAAACAGG